rnacentral:rRNA from 1 species
UACGGGGGGGCAAGCGUUGUUCGGAAUUACUGGGCGUAAAGGGCUCGUAGGCGGCCAACUAAGUCAGACGUGAAAUCCCUCGGCUUAACCGGGGAACUGCGUCUGAUACUGGAUGGCUUGAGUUUGGGAGAGGGAUGCGGAAUUCCAGGUGUAGCGGUGAAAUGCGUAGAUAUCGUAAGGAAGACCAGUGGCGAAGGCGGGUCUCUGGACAGUUCCUGACGCUGAGGAGCGAAAGCGUGGGAGCGAACAGG